AUUCUAAUAGUUUAUUUAAAAUUGAAGUUUGUGGGACUUUAGAUGUUAUUUUGCUUAGAAUA
rnacentral:tRNA from 1 species